UCGAAUACAUAGCUCGAUACACAGGAGUCAGCGGAAGCAACAAUAUCUGAGUACAGACAUAAGUUAAACAAAGAUGCCUUAAGAAGGCUAGCACAAACAUCAACGAUCGAAGAGGCAAGGCCUCCUGCCUGGGACCUCCUAACUACUCCUGGACGUCGACGGUCUUCACGCAGUAGCAUCCAUCGGCGGUGGCAUUUGGCUCCAAGGAUCCACCAUCUGGUUGCAUCAACCGGAAAGAAGAAAGAAGGGGGAAAAGGGGUAGCAAAGCAACCGUGAGUACUCAUCCAAAGUACUCGCAAGCAUCAGAUCUAUACUAAGUAUGCAUUUGUAUCAAAUGGAAGGGUUGUAUCUGUGGACUGAACUGCAGAAUGACAGAAUAGAGGGGGAAAGCCUAGCCUAUCAAAGACUAGCAUCUUCACGCAGCUCCGAGCAUCUUGCAGCAUGUAGAAGAGUAAAGAAUAGCAGUUUAUAUUUAACAAGCAUGUUGUAACAUUAAUGCCCAGAGAUCCUUCCUCGACUCCUUGCGAGAAAGCAAUCCCGGAGCCACAUAUCUCAAGUAUCCAUUUGUAGUUGUAUAAGAUCAGGAUAUAAGUUUGAACGUCCAUUACCGUGGACAUGGUAUUCGAAUAUAUAACUUCCCUGCAGGGAUGCACCACGUUACCCAACACGCUCGAUCACUCUGGCCGGACACACCUUUCUAGGGUCAAUGUCCGCCCUUGGAAGAUCAACACGUCGCAGCUCGACCUAGGCUCAGCAGAGUGGUCCCCGCCGGUCUUCAUCCUAAGCACUCCGGGGUCUGGGCCCAUCGCCCGUUGCACUCCGGGUCGUUGUGCGACGAGCCAGGACGAGCACCACCUCAUACUGGAUGGCACUGGCCCGACAGGCCCACAAUGCUGAACUGGACGUCUGACAAAACUUCGGCUGAUACUGCGACGUCGAGGCCCAUAACUAUUCUCACGUGGUGGUUGGUGCGUGAAGGCCAAAGGCCAACUCGGAACAAAUACCCAAACCAUAGUGUAUUAUUAGCUUGCGGAGACGAGCAGGGACUCACGAUCGAAAGUGACCCCGUCGCCCCGUCUCGUAGACUUACGACAAGGGCCUAGAAUGCCCGGUCGUGCCACAUCAUUAUCUUGCGGGUGCUCUCCGGGCCCGCCCGACUUUCACCAAGGUCUCAAGUAAAGUCAUUGUAACCGUGUGUCCAGACAUCAAGGGGAAAACCCGAGGAAUCACCCCCGGUGGAUUCCACUCAAUGUAAUCAUCAAGGUGAACGUAAGAGGGACCACCCUCGAGGUUCACACUUGAGGUGUUGAACGACAGAGUCGUAUCGGGAAUGGUGAAAGAGGAAAUCACCCUCGAUGACCACAACCGAAUAGCUACACUAUAGAAUUAUCAUCAGGAGUGUGUUAUGAGGGAUCACCCUCGGCACUCGAUAGUAGCUCUGCAAAGUCGAGCAACUAAAGGGGCGUGAUGUGAUGUGAGGUGUUGGGCUCUGGUCGUCGAUCACGUCGAUCGAGGCGUCGAUGAUGAAGCAGGGGCAACAAGGACAAGGUGGGGGUCACUGAUGGAUCACUAACCAACCUAUACUAAGCAGUUUAGGAUAAGCGGGUAGGUAACAAUAACAGGUACAAAAGCAGGCUAUGCAUCAGAAUAGGAGCAAACAAUAACAGUAGCAAAAUCUAAUGCAAGCAUGAGAGUAUAGAAUGGGCGAUAUCGGGAUGAUCAAAGGGGGGCUUGCCUGGUUGCUCAGACAAGAAGGAGGGUCGUCGUCGACGUAGUCGAUCUCAGCGGCAUCAGCAGCGGUCUCGGGGUCUAUCGGAGAGAAGAGGGGGAAUAAACAGUAAAUACACGCAAACAUAUGCACAACAUGAUUAUAAGCGGGGCUAGAGGUGUUCUAACGCAGUGCUAGGCGUUACUGGCGAAGGGGGAAACAUCCGUGAAAGUAUUCCCGGUUCCGGACGUUUGUCAGACAGACGAACCGGAGGGGAAAAGUUGCAUGUUUGCUAUGCUACGCACGUGUGGCGAACGAACGGGCCACGUAUUCGGAUUCGUCUCGUCGUUCUUAGCAACUUUCAUGUACAAAGUUUUUUGAUCCGAGCUACGGAUUAUUUUAUAUUAAUUUUCAAAGUUUUAAACAUUUUCUGAAAUUAUUAUUAAUUCGAAAAUGGGGUUAUUGCAUCAGCAUGAUGUCAUCAUGACAUCAGUGGUCAACACUGACCAUUGACUGGUCAAACAGGGCAGUGGGGCCCGUCUGUCAUUGACCUAACUAAUUAGCAGAUUUAAAAUUAACUAAACUAGUUCAUUAGCCUAACUAAGCAAGGUUAAUUAAGUUAAUUAAUUAACUAUCUAAUUAAUUAAUUGUUCUUAUAUUUAUUUAUUUAUUUAAAUCCUUUUUUUAACAGGGGGCCGGGCCCAGCGGUCAGUGGCCCACUGGGGCCAACCGGGCGAUGGGCGAAACGGGUUAACGGGCGGAGCACCUGGGGUCAGGCGCAGGCCCCGAGCGGGUGCUCGCCCAGCAGGGCCGAUGAGGGCCAUGGCCACGGCCGGUGGCGGUCCCAGGCGGGUGGCCGCCGGCGAGGAGGGCCGCGGGUGAGGGGGGAACGGCGGGCGGCGGAGGCGGGGCGCAGUCGGCGGAGGUGGGCGGGGCCAUGGAGGCGCGGUAGAAUGUAGCAGCGGGGCGUGUGGGUCGACAGGCAGCAGUGAGCAGCGCCAAGGGAGAAGCAGAGGCCGGGAGCGGUCGUGGCGGACGCGGGCGCACGCCGGCGGCGUGGCCGUGCUCGGCCAGGAGCGGGCGGAACGCGGUGACGGUGUCGUACGACGAGGGAAGAGAGGGAGAGGGGGCAGCGUGCUCACGGAGCCAUGUAGAGGUGCUAAAGUGGGCUCGAGGAGGCGCCGGAGCUCGAGGAGGGGUAGUCCGAUGAGGAGGCAGUCCGACGAGGGAGGCCUUCAGGCGGUGGGCGUCGAGGUCGGGGACGACGCAGUCCGGCGACGUCGCGGUCGCGGACGAGGCGACGCGGUGAGGCGGCGACAACCGAGCGGCGCCGUUGCGGUGGCGCCGGCAGUGAGGCGCCGCGGGGCGACAACAAGGGGGACGGGGCGACGGCGACGAUGGGAUCGGGCUCGCUGCCCCGAUCUCGAUCCAAACGGGAUCGGGUGAGGGAGGGGGAGUGGGGAACGAGGAGUGGGGGUGUGGGGGUGGUUAGCGCUAGGGUUUGGGUCGGGGUGGCCUUGUAGGCAAGAUUGGUGCGGGGUGGGCCGGCUGGUGGCCAGCUGGGCCGAGAGGCCCAUGGGAGGGGGGGGGAUUGGCCUUUUUCUUAAUUUUGUUUUGUUUUUCUUUUAAAAACAUUUCUGUUUUCUUUUAUUUUAAGGAACUUAAACAAUUUGCAAAAGGAUGAUUUCUCCACUAAUAUUACCAAAUGAUUAUUUGCAACAACUUGAACAUUUUUUGUUUUGACAUUUGAAAACUUUAAUUGUUUAACUUUAAUUUAAAUUUGAAUUUAGAAUUAGUUUGAAUCAACGUGGGAUCUAUCAACAGUAAAAAUGAUGAGAUGGCAUCAUUAGCAGGGAAUUACUGUAGCUUUAUUAUCCGGGCGUCACAAUUCUCCUCCACUACAAGAAAUCUCGUCCCGAGAUUUAAGGGGGUGGAGUAAGGGGGAAAGACUCGGGAAGGAAAGAGCUCAACACAAGAUAGGUACCUGGGGGCUAUCUCGGUGAACGUGGCAUAGAGGCACCUCUCGAGUUGAAUUCAAGAAAGUCAUCGAGAGCAAGGUAAGGAGGAGUAAUAAGAAGCUUCAAGCGGGUAGGCAAUCGUUCAAUGUCUGAAACAGAGUGUGAAAGGGGUUCAGUGCAUCGAAAAAUUAAGUAUUGCAUCUGAUAGCAGAACAGAUCACAGGAAGGUGGCUCGUGAAUUACAUACGAAGUCGAGCGUGAGGAACAAUUUUUGGAAGACAGAGAUGUACAUGAGAGUCAGGUUUUGAUCCUGUGGAACUGUGGGUUAUGGGCCCACCAUGUGGGUUAAAGGUAGGAAGGGCGCUAACGUAUGCACGGUCGUGAUAGCAAGGUAGGUCAUAGGAUAGCAUGUCAGUUAUGUUAGCAACAAUGUCGGUACCAAGGGCGAGGGAUGAAGAGAACCAUUUUCCUGCUCGUUAAGACGAGGCAGACCAAUAGGCAAAGUUCUCGUCCAUCGGCGGCUACCAGAAUGUCAUCAACAAUAGUAACAAGGUCUUACUGACAGAGAAUGUACACCGAGGUGUUUACAUAAGCAGGAAUUAUCACUGCUCAUAUAUGAUGGGUUACAAGAAAGGUUGAACAAAACAAUGGAAAGGAAAGUGUAGGCUCGAAUCAGUUAUCGGUGUUCUCGAGUGUCUAAAUACUCAGAACCCGUGGAAAAUUUGAACUGGCGAGAAAUAAUAGUUGAUGAAGAACUCAUAAGAAGUUAUGUAGUUCUGUGAUAUUCUCGAGAUACCAUAGGGUAAUACUCGAAGGUAGAACCGGAUAGAGGUUGGACAGAUGAAAAGCUCUACAGAAGACAAGUACUUUAACUUGUCCGAGAAAUGGAAUCAAAGGAGAAUAAUAUGGUCGAAACCACGGUUGCGAAGGACCAAACAUAGAUACAAGAUGAACUUAUCACAAGAGGAUUAUUAUUAUAACAAGAAGCUUCCAUGAUAAGUUCCACAUCGGGUCCAUGGGCAUGAACACAAAGGCUCAAGGUCGACUCCCACUUCUCUAAUGCACAACUUUCCAUUUACAUCUCGUUUUCGACGAAGUUGUAGAAUUGAAAAUUUUAUCCGAAGAAAUGCCAGUAGAUAUAACUCGCAUAAUCUUCGGGUUCACACAAACUAGGGAAGGCGUAGGUUCAACCCAUAGGGAAAUCUUAGGAACAUAUAUCGCAACUUUAGGAAUAAGUAACUCAAGCUCGAAAGUAGAGCAUGGUUGAGGAAGCAGAGGAUACAAUUUACCAAAGGCAUUAUGUAUCCGAGGAAAGGCUCACAAGGUGAUUGAAUUUGAAGGACAUUGUCGGAUAGAACCCCACAAGGGAUCUAGUGGUUCACAAGGGAUCUGAUGUGAGCAUCAGUACUCAACCAGAAGUAGAAAGAAUGCAAGGAUAUCAGGUUAUAGAAGCAACUGACUAAUUCAGAGUUGAAAUGCAAAGGAAUUAUGAUUUCCAAAAUCAAGGGAUCAGAAGCAAACGCUCUGACCAAGGAUGGUUAAGUUGAAUAGACUUAGGGCACAAUCGAUGGCAAUCUGAUUGGCCGAGAACCAGCUCAUGUUCGGGAAGACGUCUGAGCCGGAAAGAUAAUCUAUAAAGAUCAACUGAUGAUUGCGACACAGACAUAUCAAAUCAAAAGACUCAAGAUGAUAAUGACAAAGGACGUCAAAAGGAUACUGCUAGGCAUAUGGAAUUAACCAGAGUGUAGGCAGGUAAGACUUUCUAGAGCAAUAGGCGAUAGAGGUCAUCGAAAGCUCGGAUUGUAUUACCAAGUAUCUGAAGCAUAAGAAUAACUGGGGUGAAUGGAUACUCGAUAAGAGCGAGUAAUUAUCCGAAGGAGUAUUCAUGCGGCAAGGGCUACAGGGCAGCAAGCAUAAAGAAUCAUCGGAACAUCGAAGAGUAUUUUCAGAAUCUUCUGGUGAAGCGGGCCAUCAUCUGGAAUGAAGGGGCUCUCUGGUAGAAGUAUUUACGAGAACCUAGAGUUAUAGUUUGCAAAAACCAUUUAACCCGAAUGGGAGAGAGAUCAGAUUCCCAGAGUAUAGACGAGGAAUAAAAGAUCCUAAUACCACCCAAUUGGCGACGUGGGCCUGUAAGCCACACAGCCAUGUUAGUAAAACAAGUUUUAAAAGACUAGACUUAACUUUGGUCAAGGAGUUUGAAAGGGGGAACCUACAGGCAGUCGGCUCUGAUACCAACUUGUGACGCCCCUAAUUCAAUCAUACACUAAUCAUACACUCAAAUGUGUACGAUCAAGAUCAGGGACUCACGGGAAGAUAUCACAACACAACUCUAGACACAAAUCAAAAUAAUACAAGCUUUAUAUUACAAGCCAGGGGCCCCGAGGGCUCGAAUACAUAGCUCGGUACACAAGAGUCAGAGGAAGCAACAAUAUCUAAGUACAGACAUAAGUUAAACAAAGAUGCCUUAAGAAGGCUAGCACAAACAUCAACGAUCGAAGAGGCAAGGCCUCCUGCCUGGGACCUCCUAACUACUCCUGGAUGUCGACGGUCUUCACGCAGUAGCAUCCAUCGGCGGUGGCAUUUGGCUCCAAGGAUCCACCAUCUGGUUGCAUCAACCGGAAAGAAGAAAGAAGGGGGAAAGGGGGUAGCAAAGCAAUCGUGAGUACUCAUCCAAAGUACUCGCAAGCAUCAGAUCUAUACUAAGUAUGCAUUUGUCAAAUGGAAGGGUUGUAUCUGUGGACUGAACCGCAGAAUGCUAGAAUAGAGGGGGAAAGCCUAGCCUAUCAAAGACUAGCAUCUUCACGCAGCUCCGAGCAUCUUGCAGCAUGUAGAAGAGUAAAGAAUAGCAGUUUAUAUUUAACAAGCAUGUUGUAACAUUAAUGCCCAGAUAUCCUUCCUCGACUCCCUGCGAGAAAGCAAUCCCGGAGCCACAUAUCUCAAGUAUCCAUUUGUAGUUGUAUAAGAUCAGGAUAUAAGUCUGAACGCCCAUACCGUGGACACGGUAUUCAAAUAUAUAACUUCCCUAGAGGGGUGCACCAUGUUACCCAACACGCUCGAUCACUCUGGUCGGACACACCUUUCUGGGGUCAAUGCCCGCCCUUGGAAGAUCAACACGUCGCAGCCCGACCUAGGCUCAGCUGAGAGGUCCCCGCCGGUCUACAUCCUAAGCACUCCAGGGUCUGGGCCCAUCGCCCGUUGCACUCCGGGUCGUUGUGCGACGAGCCGGGACGAGCACCACCUCAUACUGGAUGGCACUGGCCCGACAGGCCCAUAAUGCUGAACUGGACGUCUGACAAAGCUUCGGCUGAUAUUGCGACGUCGAGGCCCAUAACUAUUCUCACGUGGUGGUUCGUGCGUAAAGGCCAAAGGCCAACUCAGAACAAAUACCCAAACCAUAGUGUAUUAUUAGCUUGCGGAGACGAGCAGAGACUCACGAUCAAAAGUGACCCCGUCGCCCCGUCUCGUGGACUUACGACAAGGGCCUAGAAUGCCCGGCCGUGCCACGUCAUUAUCUCGCGGGUGCUCUCCGGGCCCGCCCGACUUUCACCAAGGUCUCGAGUAAAGUCAUUGUAACCGUGUGUCCAGACAUCAAGGGGAAAACCCGAGGAAUCACCCCCGGUGGAUUCCACUCAAUGUAAUCAUCAAGGUGAACGUAAGAGGGACCACCCUCGAGGUUCACACUUGAGGUGUUGAACGACCGAGCCGUAUCAGGAAUGGUGAAAGAGGAAAUCACCCUUGAUGACCACGACCGAAUAGCUACACUACAGAAUUAUCAUCAGGAGUGCGUUAUGAGGGAUCACCCUCGGCACUCGAUAGUAGCUCUGCAAAGUCGAGCAACUAAAGGGGCGUGAUGUGAUGUGAGGUGUUGGGCUCUGGUCGUCGAUCACGUCGAUCAAGGCGUCGAUGAUGAAGCAGGGGCAACAAGGACAAGGUGGGGGUCACUGAUGGAUCACUAACCAACCUAUACUAAGUAGUUUAGGAUAAGCAUGUAGGCAACAUAACAGGUACAAAAGCAGGCUAUGCAUCAGAAUAGGAGCGAACAAUAACAGUAGCAAAAUUUAAUGCAAGCAUGAGAGUAUAGAAUGGGCGAUAUCGGGAUGAUCAAAGGGGGGCUUACCUGGUUGCUCAGACAAGAAGGAUGGUCGUCGCCGACGUAGUCGAUCUCAGCG
rnacentral:lncRNA from 1 species